rnacentral:rRNA from 1 species
GUUAGCGGCGGACGGGUGAGUAACACGUGGGUAACCUGCCUGUAAGACUGGGAUAACUCCGGGAAACCGGGGCUAAUACCGGAUGGUUGUUUGAACCGCAUGGUUCAGACAUAAAAGGUGGCUUCGGCUACCACUUACAGAUGGACCCGCGGCGCAUUAGCUAGUUGGUGAGGUAACGGCUCACCAAGGCGACGAUGCGUAGCCGACCUGAGAGGGUGAUCGGCCACACUGGGACUGAGACACGGCCCCGACUCCUACGGGAGGCAGCAGUAGGGAAUCUUCCGCAAUGGACGAAAGUCUGACGGAGCAACGCCGCGUGAGUGAUGAAGGUUUUCGGAUCGUAAAGCUCUGUUGUUAGGGAAGAACAAGUGCCGUUCAAAUAGGGCGGCACCUUGACGGUACCUAACCAGAAAGCCACGGCUAACUACGUGCCAGCAGCCGCGGUAAUACGUAGGUGGCAAGCGUUGUCCGGAAUUAUUGGGCGUAAAGGGCUCGCAGGCGGUUUCUUAAGUCUGAUGUGAAAGCCCCCGGCUCAACCGGGGAGGGUCAUUGGAAAAU